rnacentral:rRNA from 1 species
CAAGUCGAACGAAUCCCACUGCUGUAGCAAUACAGUGGUGGGGGAAGUGGCGAAAGGGGCAGUAAGGCGUGGGUAACCUACCCCGGGGACGUGGAUAGCCAUUCUAACGAGUGGGUAAUACACGGCGAUCCAGCGAGGGGGCAUCUUCUUGCUGGGAAAUGAAUCUCGCCUCGGGAGGGGCUCACGUGAUAUUAGCUUGUUGGCGGGGUAACGGCCCACCAAGGCCAAGAUGUCUAGCGGGUGUGAGAGCACGACCCGCGCCACUGGCACUGAGACACUGGCCAGACACCUACGGGUGGCUGCAGUCGAGGAUCUUUGGCAAUGAGCGCAAGCUUGACCAAGCGACGCCGCGUGUGCGAUGAAGGCCUUCGGGUUGUAAAGCACUGUCGAGGGGGAUAAAGCCGCAAGGUUGAUUGAUCCCUGGAGGAAGCACGGGCUAAGUUCGUGCCAGCAGCCGCGGUAAGACGAACCGUGCGAACGUUGUUCGGAAUCACUGGGCUUAAAGGGCGCGUAGGCGGCAGUUCAAGUCCGGGGUGAAAUCCUCCAGCUCAACUGGAGAAGUGCCUUGGAUACUGGAUUGCUCGAGGGAGGUAGGGGUCGAGGGAACUUCUGGUGGAGCGGUGAAAUGCGUUGAUAUCAGAAGGAACGCCGGUGGCGAAAGCGCUCGACUGGACCUCUUCUGACGCUGAGGCGCGAAAGCUAGGGGAGCAAACGGGAUUAGAUACCCCGGUAGUCCUAGCCCUAAACGAUGGGUACUAGCUUGUGGACUAGUCAUGGGUUCACAGGCGAAGCAAAAGUUUUAAGUACCCCGCCUGGGGA